AGGUGCCGGGGCUUCUCCCGUUUUUUCCGUCGAACGGGAGAAG
rnacentral:tRNA from 1 species